rnacentral:rRNA from 1 species
GAUGAACGCUGGCGGCGUGCCUAAUACAUGCAAGUCGAGCGAACGGACGAGAAGCUUGCUUCUCUGAUGUUAGCGGCGGACGGGUGAGUAACACGUGGAUAACCUACCUAUAAGACUGGGAUGACUUCGGGAAACCGGAGCUAAUACCGGAUAAUAUUUUGAACCGCAUGGUUCAAAAGUGAAAGACGGUCUUGCUGUCACUUAUAGAUGGAUCCGCGCUGCAUUAGCUAGUUGGUAAGGUAACGGCUUACCAAGGCAACGAUGCAUAGCCGACCUGAGAGGGUGAUCGGCCACACUGGAACUGAGACACGGUCCAGACUCCUACGGGAGGAAGCAGUAGGGAAUCUUCCGCAAUGGGCGAAAGCCUAACGGAGCAACGCCGCGUGAGUGAUGAAGGUCUUCGGAUCGUAAAACUCUGUUAUUAGGGAAGAACAUAUGUGUAAGUAACUGUGCACAUCUUGACGGUACCUAGUCAGAAAGCCACGGCUAACUACGUG